rnacentral:rRNA from 1 species
AGCGGUAGGCCUUUCGGGGUACACGAGCGGCGAACGGGUGAGUAACACGUGGGUGAUCUGCCCUGCACUUCGGGAUAAGCCUGGGAAACUGGGUCUAAUACCGGAUAUGACCUCCGAUUGCAUGACUUGUGGUGGAAAGAUUUAUCGGUGCAGGAUGGGCCCGCGGCCUAUCAGCUUGUUGGUGGGGUAAUGGCCUACCAAGGCGACGACGGGUAGCCGACCUGAGAGGGUGACCGGCCACACUGGGACUGAGACACGGCCCAGACUCCUACGGGAGGCAGCAGUGGGGAAUAUUGCACAAUGGGCGAAAGCCUGAUGCAGCGACGCCGCGUGAGGGAUGACGGCCUUCGGGUUGUAAACCUCUUUCAGCAGGGACGAAGCGCAAGUGACGGUACCUGCAGAAGAAGCACCGGCUAACUACGUGCCAGCAGCCGCGGUAAUACGUAGGGUGCAAGCGUUGUCCGGAAUUACUGGGCGUAAAGAGUUCGUAGGCGGUUUGUCGCGUCGUUUGUGAAAACCAGCAGCUCAACUGCUGGCUUGCAGGCGAUACGGGCAGACUUGAGUACUGCAGGGGAGACUGGAAUUCCUGGUGUAGCGGUGAAAUGCGCAGAUAUCAGGAGGAACACCGGUGGCGAAGGCGGGUCUCUGGGCAGUAACUGACGCUGAGGAACGAAAGCGUGGGUAGCGAACAGGAUU